AUCCAGUUGACCAGUCCUAAAAAGAACGAAAUGUGCAUCCUGGAU
rfam:Schistosoma haematobium scaffold1237_2, whole genome shotgun sequence.